GAUGAAGAACGCAGCGAAAUGCGAUAAGUAGUGUGAAUUGCAGACUUUAGUGAAUCAUCGAAUCUUUGAACGCACAUUGCGCCCCUUGGUAUUCCAUUGGGCAUGCCUGUUCGAGCGUCAUUUACACCCUCAAGCUCUGCUUGGUGUUGGGCGUCUGUCUCCGCUUCACGCGAGGACUCGCCCCAAAUUCAUUGGCAGCGACAUCGUCGGCUUCUCGCGCAGCACAUCGCGCAUGGGAAGGUCCCCGACGGGCUCGCGAUCAUCAAGCUCACCCCCCCAGUUUGACCUCGGAUCAGGUAGGGAUACCCGCUGAACUUAAGCAUAUCAAUAAGCGGAGGA
rnacentral:misc_RNA from 1 species